rnacentral:rRNA from 1 species
UAAGCACGAAACUUGCCCCGAGAUGAGUUCUCCCUGAGACUUUAAGUCUCCUGAAGGAACGUUAAAGACGAUGACGUUGAUAGGCCGGGUGUGUAAGCGCAGCGAUGCGUUGAGCUAACCGGUACUAAUGAACCGUGAGGCUUAACCUU